UACGUAGGGCGCAAGCGUUAUCCGGAAUUACUGGGCGUAAAGCGUGCGCAGGCGGUUUUGUAAGUCUGAUGUGAAAUCCCCGGGCUCAACCUGGGAAUUGCAUUGGAGACUGCAAGGCUAGAAUCUGGCAGAGGGGGGUAGAAUUCCACGUGUAGCAGUGAAAUGCGUAGAGAUGUGGAGGAACACCGAUGGCGAAGGCAGCCCCCUGGGUCAAGAUUGACGCUCAUGCACGAAAGCGUGGGGAGCAAACAGG
rnacentral:rRNA from 1 species